CUUGACAUAGAGGAAUCAAGAAUCGCAUUCAAGCUUGAUCAGAACAUGUAAGAUCAAUCCAUCUUAUUAUGUAUUGAUGAUUCAAGUGUAUGGAUGAACGCAGAUGGAGGAUGAGCAUAACAAUGAAAGCACCAGUUGUUAAGGACCUGAAUCCCUAACGUUCAGUAGAAUGGAGAACAACUAUGAAGAGAUAAAUCCGACGCCCGUGAGGGUCGGUGGAGGACGAAUCUGGGUGGCUGUGCGCGGGUUCCAACCCGUUGGGCAGCGACUGCAGAUCAGAUAUAAAUCCCGGCUGUGCGCGGUGAGAUUCCGUCGGGUAGCAGGUGGCGUAGGGAUUAAGGAUUCAACGUAUUAUGCAAGGGACUUGGCCAAAAUAAUAUAUUCAUUCAAGAUGAUUAAAAUGAUUACAUUCUUCCCUAUUUAUACUGGUCAUACUGAGAUGUUGAGAGAAACAAAGAAAUGGCCGUAUAUCUUCGGCAGACUACCCUAGUGACGAGGACAAAUCCAUGGUCGCUUGCUAGUAUACGACCACUAUAUUAGCACUCACCUAAUCAAAGCAAGAUCAGCUUAUGCAGGAUUGGAGAUCAAGGAUCUUUUCAACAUGAUUCUAAGAGCUAUCAACAUGAAGAUAAUAUUGUCAUAAAUCCAGGUGCACCGAUUUUUAGAAUUAAGAUUAUUUUGUUGUUAUGCAUAAAACGAACUUGCACCUCUAUGUUUAGGUAGUAUUAGUAAGAUUGACAGGUGACAUUGUGUACAAUCCUCCAAGAAGCGGGCCAACUCUUUGGGAAAUCGGUGUUCCUGCUUUCGAGUGGAUCCGCAACCUGGGCUUACUAACAAGCUAUACAUCAAUCACGUCGAAAAGUAUAGGCAGUAUGGCUUAUGGGAUAGAUAUACAGAUCUUUAUCCUAACAACGAUCUGAUUUAUAACAUCAACGAUAGUGAUUAUAGAAAAGACUGGUUCUUUGCCCAUGUUACUAGGAAAUCGAGCUACAAUAAAUACAAACCUACGACAUGGAAGAUUCUAUUUAACUUAACUAAUAUCGACAACCUUGGAGUCUAUACACUCAGGAUUGCCCUAGCAUGUGCCAACUUGGCAAAUAUACAAGUAUGGAUCAACGAGCUGAAGACCAGCACGCCCCAUUUCUCAACGGAGAAAUUAGGGCGAGACAAUGCAAUAGCAAGACACGGGAUUCAUGGGAGGUAUUGGUUGUACGGAGUGGAUAUAGCAGGAUCUCAGCUUGUGGAAGGGGAAAACACCAUCUAUCUUAAGCAAGCAACGGGGAAUAAUCCUUUUGUUGGUGCCAUGUACGAUUAUAUUAGACUCGAAGCUCCAUCUCAACAAGAUCAAGACUAAUAUUUAACACACACUCGCAUUAAGGCAGUUUAUUUUCACAAAUUUUUAGCUACUCUUAGAUGCCUAGAUAACUAAAAUUUAUAGCACAUGUUUGGUAGACAUUUUUGUUCAUAGA